GGGGAGGUCUGCAAGCAUGCUACUCUAGGCAAGAGCUGUCUGUGGGCCAGGCCAGAGCUGAGGAAGGGCUGUCACCUCCUGCUCUCCUGACUUUCCUCAACCCAGAGGUCACGUCUGAUUUCCAGAUGUGAGCUCAGCUUUCUGACUGGCCAUGUCCUGCUGCCAUGCCUCCCCACUACCAUGAUGGACUCCUUCCUCUGGAAUGGAUUGACAAGCACAGGACUGUCUGAGAGAGCCUGGAUCCUGCCUCCACGUGGUGAAGGAAGCCUGAACGUACCUGACUGGAACCUGAAUUGGGCUUCUGUGGAUACCCCUGAAUAGCAGAUCUGAAGCCAUCAAUUCCUUCCA